GAAUCAGCAGGGAGAGAAAACCCUGUUGAGACUGAUUCUAGUCUAGCACGGUGAAGAGAAAUGAGAGGUAUAGGAUAAGUGGGAGGCCCCCGGCACCCUACCACCCCUGUGUCUGCGAGGGAGCGGGGUGGGGUGCACCGGCCUUGCAGGCCACCAGUGAAAUAUUCUGAUCAUUUUUUCACUGACCGAGUGAGGCGCAGGGGCGGGGAGAGGGGGGUGCGUGGCAGUGGCAAGCUCAUUUCUGGCACCAAGUGCCCCGCCAGGGCCAGUGCCAGGUGGGGAGUUUGACUGAGGCCGUACACCUGCAAAUGGUGUCCUAAGGCGAGCUCAGGGAGAACAGAAACCUCCCAUGGAGCAGAAGAGCAAGAACUCGCUUGAUCUUGAUUUUCAGUACGAAUACAGACCGUGAAAGCGGGUCUUCACAAUCCUUCUGACCUUUGGGGUUUUAAGCAGGAGGUGUCAGAAAAGUUACCACAGGAAUAAUUGGCUUGUGGUGGCCAAGUGUUCAUAUAGUGACGUUUUUGAUCCUUUGAUGUCAGCUCUUUCUAUCAUUUUGAAGCAGAAUUCACCAAGCGUUGGGAUGUUGACCCACUAAUUGGGAACGUGAGCUGGGACUAGACUGUGGUGAGACAGAUUAGUUUUACCCUACUGAUGAUGUGUUGUUGCCAUGGUAAUCCUGCUCGGUAGGAGGAACUGCGGGUUCAGACAUUUGGUGUAUGUGCUUGGCUGAGGAGUCAAUGGGUCAAAGCUACCAUCUGUGGGAUUAUGACUGAAUGCCUCCAAGUCAGAAUCCCAUCCAGGCAGAAUGAUAUGGCAGCCCUGGGAAUCCUUGGUUGGCCUUGGACAGCCAGUCCCCUGCCAUCCCUGCCAGCGGCCUGCCACCCACGUCCCUCUAUGCACAGCAUGGCAUGCCCUGCUGCGUGCUGGGACCAGGUCAUACAUUAGGACCGGAUCUGGUGCAGAAAGCCUUUCGUCCUAAGACACGGGGCACAGCCAGAAAGAUGGCUACCCCCUCGCCUGUCACCACCACAGGUUUGUGGGGAACCUGGUGCUUAACCAUUGGUAGAUGACCUGCUCCUGGGUUGGGGUUUCAUAGGCAGCAGAGCAGCUCCCUUGCUAUGAUCUAUUGAAAGUCAGUCCUGGACACAAGGGUUU
rnacentral:ncRNA from 1 species